UACCUACGGGGCGCAGCAGUGGGGGAUAUUGGACAAUGGGGGGAACCCUGAUCCAGCGACGCCGCGUGCGGGAUGAAGGCUUUCGGGUUGUAAACCGCUUUCAGCAGGGAAGAUAAUGACGGUACCUGCAGAAGAAGCCCCGGCUAACUACGUGCCAGCAGCCGCGGUAAUACGUAGGGGGCAAGCGUUAUCCGGAUUCAUUGGGCGUAAAGCGCGCGCAGGCGGGCCGCUAAGCGGGACCUCUAAUCUUGGG
rnacentral:rRNA from 1 species